UACGAAGGGUGCAAACGUUGCUCGGAAUUAUUGGGCGUAAAGCGCACGUAGGCGGCAUUGCAAGUCGGAUGUGAAAUCUUAUGGCUUAACCAUAAAAGUGCAUCCGAAACUGCAGUGCUUGAGUACUUAAGAGGAUCGCGGAAUUCCCGGUGUAGAGGUGAAAUUCGUAGAUAUCUGGAGGAACACCGGUGGCGAAGGCGACAUCCUGGACCGGCAUUGGCGCUGAGGCGCGAAAGCCAGGGGAGCAAACGGG
rnacentral:rRNA from 1 species